rnacentral:piRNA from 1 species
AUGGAUCGCCAGGUAGACCAUGC